rnacentral:rRNA from 1 species
UAAUACGGAGGUCCAAGCGUUAUCCGGAUUUAUUGGGUUUAAAGGGUCCGUAGGCGGGUUAAUAAGUCAGUGGUGAAAUCCUACAGCUCAACUGUAGAACUGCCAUUGAAACUGUUAACCUUGAAUAUAAUUGAAGUAGGCGGAAUGUGUCAUGUAGCGGUGAAAUGCUUAGAUAUGCCACAGAACACCGAUUGCGAAGGCAGCUUACUAAGUUAUUAUUGACGCUGAGGGACGAAAGCGUGGGUAGCGAACAGGAUUAGAUACCCUGGUAGUCCACGCCGUAAACGAUGUAUACUCGUUGCUAGCGAUACACAGUUAGUGACCAAGCGAAAGUAUUAAGUAUACCACCUGGGGAGUACGAUCGCAAGAUUG